ACCAACGUCUCCCUCGUACCCUCGGCAAUCUACAAUUUCAAAUUAAUUUGUAUCGCAUUACUUUGUAACCAAUUCUGGGGUAGCGUAUCUCUUUAACCCCUUAUGGACCAAACUUCUGGAAUAAACACAUCAUGUGUCCUUAAGGGGUUAAGUAGAAUGCGAGAUGGACGAACGCAAAGAAGCAAGUAGUAAGUAGCAAGCCUUUAUAGAGGUUUUUGUAAAUAGUAAAACAUAAUAUUCACUCCUAUUGUUUUAGAGAUGUGAGCACACAAGGGCUAGUACUCGCCCAUCUUCGCCCUGUUUAAUUACAGCCUCUGAAUUUCCAUUCUCAGCAGGGAUUCCUCUUUAUGCCCUGCUGACUCCCUCUCUCUUCGGUUUGUUCCUUCAGCGUCUCUUACGUCCACUCAGUAUUCCGCAAGUUAUAAAUUUGUUAUCUUGUGUAUAUGUAGAAGGAAGGGAGUCAUUUCAAAUUUUUUUCCUGCUUCUUCUCUCUUGUUUCCUAACUGAUUGGAGAGUUUCUCAUGGUGUGCUCACUUUGCAGCACUGCUCGUCUUUCGGCGGGCUUCUCCCCAUCCACGGACAUACGUAGCGUGCGUUCCUACAUCAUUCCCCCCACCCCCCAAUAUUUCCUCCCUAUAUACUUUUUACACCUUCAUAAACAGUAUUAGACUGUCCGAGCUACCUCUUUAAACUUUACUAUUUCCUUUUCCUUGUUUUUGGUAAAUUUUGGUUUACUUAGUAUUGUUACCCUUUUAAGUAUGUAUCUGUAACGGCACCCUCGACAUCAAACAGUCAAAACCGCCGUUUAGUUAAUCCUCCCCGCUCGCAAUACUGUAAACUCCAUUCGUAUAGAAUCCAAUUGUACGAACUGCAAGCAGGGGAAUGCGCCAACCUCCCGAACGGGACCUGUACGGAUACUCCAACUCUCGAGCGGUAAACCCACGAAUCGCUGCUAACAGCCGAAUCAAUAUAUCAUCCAAGCGGCUUACGGUUCCAGCAAUCAGUCACUAUUCGUGUGUAGUAAAUCCCCCCAAUAACGAGACCAAUCUCCGCAUUGAGGGUAAAACAAGAACUGGGUUUACUGUGGGCUACCCGCCCAUAUUUAUGCAGGUCUCCCACUUGGUGGACACUCCCCUAGGGGACCAAAUGGGAGACUGUAAUGGCAGACAGACAUUUAGCAUGUUAGGACACACAGGCACAUAAUAUUCCCAGCAUGCAUCAUGGUUUCCUCCCCUCUGCCCUGGAGAUAAUUAAGAAGUAAUUCAAUUAUCUCCCAGGACAGAGGCAAAUCGCCAUUUUAGAUGAAACAUAAAAACCACAUAAAAAUAAAUAAUUACACAACUACCGAACAUAUUCCAUUCGUGCAAUGUGUCCCCAGAUAGCCUGGAUCUGAGUGCAUAUUCUUAGCGAAAAGCGCUCAGAUCCCAUACAUACAGUUCAAUCGCCAUGGAGUCAAAGUCUUUUACAGUCUUUCGGUAUGCGAUUGACUCCAUGGGAAGGCUAUCUGGGUUAAGUCCAUUCGUGUAGUCCAAACUCCCGAACGGCCGGUGUUUGCAUGCUUUUGUCGAUUGAGAAGGGCGGUCUGUGGUUUUAGCGGUGUUCAGCAGAAAAAGUGUCCAUUUUUAGUUCCAUAGAAUCUGUGCCGAACACCACUGGUCCUUUGCAUGGUUUAAAAUGGCCGCCGCCUCGUGGUCGACAUACGAACAACAACCACCCUGUAUUCGGUUAUAAUUGAGAGGUGUCUGCGGUUAACCACAACGUUCUAAUUGGGAUCAAGAGGUUAACCAGCAGCACACUUCUCUUCUGGGUGGCCGUCCGUUCGGUAAGUUCAUUCGGUAAAAACGUCAAAUAAACGAACAGGGGCAUACGGACAGGUAAUUCCACGAAAAGAGGCAAAACAGACGAACCAGCAAUCUUAGUCUAUACAGAUGGAUCUUUCACAGUAUCUAAUAAAUGUUAUGUUUUAUAGACAUUACCUACAUUUGUUUUUAGGAUAGUUAACGUUCUCUUCUCUCUUUAUUGCAUUCGUUGUGUUGAGCUAUUUCAAUUGCUUUUGUUUGCUUUGUUCAUUGCAUACAGCUGAAAGUCUGUAAAUUUUGACAGUACACCUGAUUUUCAAUGGCGGUUGAAUAAUUUUGAUUUCAACUGUAAGUAUUUAUAUGAUACAAUGUUAAAUUCUCCCUUCAGAGGUUCUUUCAUACUACAGAACAUACUGCACAAAUGUACCUGCCCAGUGCCACUCUGUCUGGGGACUUAAUCACAUUAUUCCCAGCUAACUCAAGUGGUUCCCUGCUGUUCCGGCUAUUCUCAGAUCCGAGGACAAGUUCCAGGCAAACUUAUCCAAGGAACAGUUCCAGGGUGUUUCAGGGUACCUCGAAGUGUGAAAAUAGUUCUGGAAAUCCACAGAGCUCCUCAAGUGCGGAAGCACAAUAAGCAUCCAGGGCACCCCACAGUGACAGCAGCCCCUUUUAGGAGGCUGACCUUCAAGCCACUCCAAAAUGAUGUGGCACAGGAAAUUGUUACAGUCUCAAGUUGACCUCUGUCUAUGAGGGCCAUGAAAUUAAAUUUUUGGAUCUCAAGAUGAUCAGUGACCCAAACUCCACGUGAAAAAUAUGGACAUAAACAGUUUCCACAAUGGGGAAAGUUACCACCCUGUACCCCUUAAGAGGGGUAUUACCUAUGGGCAAUACUUAUGAGCUAGGUGCAAUUGUACAACAGAUAUUAAUUUUAAAACUGAAGCUAACUUAGACAGUACUUUCAAAUCAAAGGAUAACUUAAUAAAUUGCUAAAAAGUACGUAGAAUCGUCCAUGUCAGUACUAUCCAGAUAAUACCAGCCAAAAAACAUUCAAGAAUGAUGAAGUGAUCCACUGUAUCGCCACAUAAAGGAUGACACCACCUUUUGCCUAUUGUUCAGAAUUACUGGCCCAUGCUCACUACAGUGAUAUAACCAAGGACAACAGUCACAACAAGACUGACAGAAAACCUUGUGGAUAUUUUAGUCCACAGCCAUCUAUCGAGUCAAUGCAUCACCAAGCCCUUGCUCACACAACCACGGGUCAUCUUUAGAUAUGUAAGGUGCAAAGUGUGCCCUUUCUAAAAAUAUUUAAAAGAAGCUGUUAGUUCUGUCUGAAGUAAAUCAAUAUUAUUAAGGGCUUUGCUAACUGCUCCUCGACAUAAUUUAUUUGAUCACACAUGAAACAAAUAGUAUAUCGGUAAACAGUCAACAGUUCCGAAGAAUUCUACAACAUGUCUAUUCUGUGCAUUUGAGACAAGACACUUCUGUCACAACAUAUCCAUCAGUUUCAUUGUAACCAGGCCUCACAUCUCAGCUUCCAGGCUGUCGAAAAGAUCUCUCUAAGCCAUGCAGAGGAAAUCCAAGUCACAGACUGCUCCAACAUGAGUCCUGCUUGAUUUUUAAAUUGAAAACCCAGAUAGGUUGCAUGAUGAUUUUGAACACUUGCAGUUUAUUAAAUAGUCAGCCUUUAUGUAUCUUCUGGAAGAGUCCUACAUGUAGCAUUUUUUAAACCCAUUAUGUUAACCAUGUUGUCUUGGAACACAAAUUUUCUUUCAAAUAUUUGUAAUUACAGACUUUAUACAUUAUAUUUUUUUCUAGUUAUUAUUAUCAUUUUUACUAAUUUUUUAUUUUGGCUUUUUUUUUUUGUCUACAUCAACAGGGAGUGCUAUAGCUGUUCUAAUAUGAAUUGUCUUCCCCACUAGGGGGAACCACGACUAUGAGUUCUUAUGGAGUACUACAUUCUCUUGUAACUUAUAAUGUUCAAUUCCAUAGACCAGUGGUUCACAAACUUUUUAGGUUCAAGGUGCCUUUAUUAUUUUAAUAUUUUUCCAAGGUGCCCCAAGUCAAAACAAAUUUUUAGGUUGCGUAUCUGUACAGCGCAUCAGCAUAUACUGGAGCUAUAGUGAAAUGUAUAGUGUUGGUGUUUAAAGGGGUGCUUGUAUACAGGGAGUGCAGAAUUAUUAGGCAAAUUAGUAUUUUGACCACAUCAUCCUCUUUAUGCAUGUUGUCUUACUCCAAGCUGUAUAGGCUCGAAAGCCUACUACCAAUUAAGCAUAUUGGGUGAUGUGCAUCUCUGUAAUGAGAAGGGGUGUGGUCUAAUGACAUCAACACCCUAUAUCAGGUGUGCAUAAUUAUUAGGCAACUUCCUUUCCUUUGGCAAAAUGGGUCAAAGAAGGACUUGACAGGCUCAGAAAAGUCAAAAAUAGUGAGAUAUCUUGCAGAGGGAUGCAGCACUCUUAAAAUUGCAAAGCUUCUGAAGCGUGAUCAUAGAACAAUCAAGCGUUUCAUUCAAAAUAGUCAACAGAGUCGCAAGAAGCGUGUGGAAAAACCAAGGCGCAAAAUAACUGCCCAUGAACUGAGAAAAGUCAAGCGUGCAGCUGCCACGAUGCCACUUGCCACCAGUUUGGCCAUAUUCAGAGCUGCAACAUCACUGGAGUGCCCAAAAGCACAAGGUGUGCAAUACUCAGAGACAUGGCCAAGGUAAGAAAGGCUGAAAGACGACCACCACUGAACAAGACACACAAGCUGAAACGUCAAGACUGGGCCAAGAAAUAUCUCAAGACUGAUUUUUCUAAGGUUUAUGGACUGAUGAAAUGAGAGUGAGUCUUGAUGGGCCAGAUGGAUGGGCCCGUGGCUGGAUUGGUAAAGGGCAGAGAGCUCCAGUCCGACUCAGGCGCCAGCAAGGUGGAGGUGGAGUACUGGUUUGGGCUGGUAUCAUCAAAGAUGAGCUUGUGGGGCCUUUUCGGGUUGAGGAUGGAGUCAAGCUCAACUCCCAGUCCUACUGCCAGUUCCUGGAAGACACCUUCUUCAAGCAUUGGUACAGGAAGAAGUCUGCAUCCUUCAAGAAAAACAUGAUUUUCAUGCAGGACAAUGCUCCAUCACACGCGUCCAAGUACUCCACAGCGUGGCUGGCAAGAAAGGGUAUAAAGAAGAAAAUCUAAUGACAUGGCCUCCUUGUUCACCUGAUCUGAACCCCAUUGAGAACCUGUGGUCCAUCAUCAAAUGUGAGAUUUACAAGGAGGGAAAACAGUACGCCUCUCUGAACAGUGUCUGGGAGGCUGUGGUUGCUGCUGCAUGCAAUGUUGAUGGUGAACAGAUCAAAACACUGACAGAAUCCAUGGAUGGCAGGCUUUUGAGUGUCCUUGCAAAGAAAGGUGGCUAUAUUGGUCACUGAUUUGUUUUUGUUUUGUUUUGAAUGUCAGAAAUGUAUAUUUGUGAAUGUUGAGAUGUUAUAUUGGUUUCACUGGUAAUAAUAAAUAAUUGAAAUGGGUAUAUAUUUGUUUUUUGUUAAGUUGCCUAUAAUUAUGCACAGUAAUAGUCACCUGCACACACAGAUAUCCCCCUAACAUAGCUAAAACUAAAAACAAACUAAAAACUACUUCCAAAAAUAUUCAGCUUUGAUAUUAAUGAGUUUUUGGGUUCAUUGAGAACAUGGUUGUUGUUCAAUAAUAAAAUUAAUCCUCAAAAAUACAACUUGCCUAAUAAUUCUGCACUCCCUGUAUAAUUUUAGUGUUUUAAUACAGGGGUGUGUUUGAAUGUAAUGUUCACUUUUAAAUGCGGAUGUACAUUUGUUUAAAGUAUUUGUGUUUGAGUGAAGGGGUGUGUACAGUAUUUUGGAGUUUGACUGCAUGGGUUUGUUUGUAUGUAAUAUUCAGGUAAGAUUGCAGGAGUGUGUUUAUAUGUUGUGCUGGUGUUUGACUGCAUGGAUAUAUGCACAUAAACUGCCACAUACAUAAAUUCCUACACAGAUAUACAUGCACAUUAAAACACAGAUACAUAUAAAUACACCAACGCAUACACACAAAUUCAUAUAGACACCGACACAUACACAAACCGACAUAUAUACACACACACAGAUGCACACUGACAAAUACACACACACACGUACACACAGACACACACACUGACACAGAUACACACAGAAGCACACUAACAUGAAAACACACACCCUGACACAAUGAUGCACACCCUGACACACAUAUGCACAUACACAUACACAGAUGUGCAUGCGCACACACACACACAUAUAUACACACAGAGAUGCACACUCACAUAUAUACACACACACACUGAUAAACACUGACAUAUUUACACACACAGAUGCCCACUGACAUUUACACACACACACACACAGAUGCACACUGACAUAUAUAAAUAGACACACACACAGACACACACUGACAUAUAUACACAGACACACAGAUGCACACCAACAUAUAUACACACACACACAGAAGCACACUGACAUAUUUACUCACACAGAUGCACACCCUGACACACACACUCACACAAUCUGGCAUACACAUACAAGUAAUUUUUAUUUUUUUAUAUCUCCAGCCACCCUCCAGUUAGCUUACCUUGUGUGUCCAGGAGGGUGACCUGGUGUCCUGCUCCUGGUCUUGCUGCUGGCUGGUGGGAGUGCGGGGUCUGGAGCAGCUCUUCAUGCUCCCCUCCCCUCAUGCUGCGCUUAACUCCUAUCCCUUCCGCGCUGUCUCCCUGCAGGAAACUGGGAGGAAGUGACAGGCUGUCACUUCCUCACAGCCUGCUGACAUUAUAGAGGCCCUGUCUCGGUCUUGAAAGGCCACAGCACCUGACCGAGAUGCUGUUCAGUAGUAAUGUUUCCUGGUGUUAUAAUCAUUGCACCGGAGAGACGUUUUGCGGCGCCCCUGUGUGCCCGUCACAGUUUAGAAACUGCUGCAAUAGACCAUCUCUGGGUGAGCUCUCUCAUGGUUUCCUGUGGAGUAUUUGCAACUCACUUAAUACAUAUAGGAUUAAUCCAUUAGCCACUGUCUUGCAUCAUUUGAAGAUCGGAUUUAUGCUAUGGCCUGGGGACACUAUACCUUGCUACCUACUUUUGACUUGUUCGGGUCAUUAAAUUGUGACCACUGGUUUCUAAUUUGGUCUCACUGCAAUCUUUUCCCUUUGCAACUGUUGCUACAACAGUUCCACUAUUAUUUAGCAAGGUCUCACCUUAGUUACUGUUAGAAAAUAAAGACAACAAACUGCCUCAGAGACUCUCCACUGUCUAGGUGCUUAUUGUUGAAUUGCUCCAAUCACAGAUCUGAGUGAGAGGUUUAAAUGCCCUUGCUCUCGGCAGAUUUUGAGCACCUCUGACGAGGUUUGUCACUCCACAAAGCAAAACACAUGCUGAGUGCCCGCAUUCCCACCUGCCUUUCAUUGUUCUGCCUUUUCUGUCUUUCCAAGGUGCAAGCAGCCGACAUGUAAAUAGGACAAGCUUUUGCUUUGGUCGAAAAUAGGGGUUGACAGGGAAUGGCUGUCUCAUACUUUUAGAGUUAUUUACUAAAGUUAGAGCCGGAAUAACAAAAUGGCUGCCCCAGAAAAUGUUGAGCAAGUUCAUCAUUAGAUGCAUUUGAAGCUCAGGGUGCUGUCUGCAUAGUACACCCUUAAAUUCCAGCCUGCAUGGUUGACAGGCAGCCUGCCAUGCAUUUAUGCCAGGCUGACCUGCCAAUUCUUCAGGCAGACAUGUCCUCUUUCUGGGCAUGUCUUUGCAGUGGCAGUUAUGUGACUCGCAUCAUGGCCCACUCUUUUACCCCACCACAAAAAUGUCCUGCUUCACUGAAAGGUGCUGUUAGGGGGUAUGGAUUUGCUUAAGAGAUGAAAGUAAGAGAUUUACAUAAGGCAGGCAUAGGCAACCUUCAGCACUCCAGAUGUUUUGGACUACACCUCCCACAAUGCGUUGCCAGCAUUAUGGGUGUAAGAGCAUUAUGGAGGAUGUAGUCCAAAACAUCUGGAGUGCCGAGGGUUGCCUAUGCCUGACAUGGGGUAUGUGUAUUCUUAUAGCAAUAGAAGAGGAAUGUUGUACCAAUACAAUUAUAAUAAAAGAUAUUCCCAAAGGUACUGAAGAAUAAAAACCAAUAAUAACAAUCAAUAUUAAAAAAGCCAAAAAAUGACCAAUAAAAUGUCCAAAUAAAUGUGCAAACUUGCAAGGAGAACAGCUAACUGUAGUAGUGAGGUCUCUUCGUUAUGGAGGUACCAGAUCAGGAAAUGCUUGAGAUACGUAUCUAUAUAUAUAUAUAUAUAUAAAAAACAGAGGAAACCCAAUAGUGUAGUAUGUCACGACAAUAUGGAAGCAUUUGGCUUUAGUAAAUCUGCACAUUGCAAAUUUGGUAGGAAUUUGGUUAUUUUUUUCUAUUCUGACAAAAUCAUAUGUUUAGUAUAUAACCCUGUUUUUUUUCAUUGCUUUAGGCUAUUUUAUGACAGUAUCUAGUGAGCUUGCAAAAAAAGUGUAAUUCAAUAGGCAGGUGUAGACUGUGCUGUUAGUCUGUAAACUCUGGACUCUGGACUUCUCAGGGUGUUAGGCCACCCCCUAGUGGACAACCAGCUAAUAUAUUUUACAGAUAUUAGGACUAUAAUACAAGUAUAUUAGGAGGUAGUGCUAGUUAUUUAUUUAUCUCUCACUUUUUGAUGUUUGAGCUUGGAGUGCACGUGCCUUAUUGUUUCUCCAAGAGAUUGAAUUUAUUUGGGUUCCCCAGAAUUAAAUUAAUUAAAGGAUGAUUUAUCCAUAAGAAAUUUGGUGCCACAAGUCCCGGGAAUGAAGGUUCACUUAUCCGGAACUGGAGAAUCUGUGUCUCUCUGACUGUGAACGAGUGCUGCAGCAAGGUUAGAAAAAGUGUUUAUUUUUCUACCUAUUACCUUCACUCUCAGAGCAGUGCUUAUUCUGUGUCCGGGUAAGUUUUGGACUUAAAAAUUGUCGUUUCCCAAGAACAAAUUUAAACGGACAUACUAUGUUCUGGUGGAAUGUCUUGUGGAAGUAGUUUACUAAAGAAUACAUAUGUGGGGUCCAAGUUAUUCUUAUUAUCUGCAUAGUUGUUUAUUUCCUGAUCAGAAUAAGAAUUCCCCAGUACAGGUACACCGACCUGUGUUUAAAUUGAAGACAGGUUCUGUAAUUAAAUUCCACUAGUGGUCCUAAGUGUUUUAAACUGAUUAAGUACGUUCUUGACUUAAAGUGAGCAGCUGCAUUUAAGUAUUUUUGAUGGGAAAUUCACGGAGUACUCAAGAGGAAUAUACUGCCCUAACCAUAGUGAAACAACAUAAGGGCAAAGAGGCAGUUAAAGAUGUAAAGAAGCUUCUUAAGAAAGCUAGGAUGCCUUCUGAAGGCUUCCUGGACCCACAGAUUUGGAAAGAAUUUAUGGCCAAUUUUUAAUGGAUAAUCAUUUAGUUGAAGUCGCCCAGAAAUGGCUUGAUACUGCAGUAGAUUUGACUAAAUGUGGUUGUAGAGAAACCACAAGGAAUGGGGUACCCUACUACUAAUGUUUUGGUGCCUUAGGAUCCAGCUCUACAGCUAUAGCCCCUAGUACCUCAUACAACCCACCUCCUUACCCAGGUAAGGAUGAGGGUGACCCUAAAUCUUCUCUCAAACAGACUCCUCAAGUCCCUUUCUCUACUACUAAUCCAGUUACUUAGAAAUCUUACUGGGUUUGUCCCAGAUGUGAAUGUGCUAACCCUUGGUGGGACUCACUGAUAUUGUACAAGGUAAAGUGGAAAACAUUUUUUUGCCAGCCUUCAGAUAGGCUGGUAGUUGUUAGAAUACUACGAAUCAGACCCCCUAUCUUUCAGACACCUAGUUAACUGUUUUAUGGAUGGUCUAUAUCCUCCCUUACACACUGCCCUUCAGGCAGCAUGUCCUGGAUGGAGAGGACUCAAUUACUUUGAUUUAGUUAAAGUAGUCAUGGGGGUAGAGGCUAAUUCUAAAACACGAAAAGCAAGAGGAGGUUUGCCUCUGUAUCCAAACUAGUUGGACUAGAGACUACGGUCAGUAUGGUGGUAUCAGCUCCACCUAUGGGCUUGGACCCUAUGAAUAUAAUAGAAUUGACACAAAGGAAGAGUAGCUCCAAACAAGGGGGCGACUCCAAAGCUGAUAUAUGUGCAUAAAUAGAAGAAACUAAUACUAAACAGCUAAUUAGCUUCCUUCCAAGUUUUUAAAGUAUUGGAGAUCUAAUGCCCCACAGCUAGAAACUGUUACCAUAUGUAUCCAAAAAUUACCAAUAACUUUAUUUCAUCCUUAAACAGUGGUACAAAUGGUUUUAUCGCUGGGUGGCAAGAAAAUACGCCUUCUGAAGUAGCCCAGUCAGAGUCCU